UACGGGGGGAGCAAGCGUUGUUCGGAUUUACUGGGCGUAAAGGGCGCGUAGGCGGUCGUGACAAGUCACUUGUGAAAUCUCCGGGCUUAACUCGGAACGGUCAAGUGAUACUGUCGGACUAGAGUACAGAAGGGGCAACUGGAAUUCUCGGUGUAGCGGUGAAAUGCGUAGAUAUCGAGAGGAACACCUGCGGCGAAGGCGGAUUGCUGGGCUGAUACUGACGCUGAGGCGCGAAAGCCAGGGGAGCGAACGGG
rnacentral:rRNA from 1 species